GAAAAGUCCAAUGGAUUCCCCUCUGCAUCAGUCACUUUGCCUCCAGCUUCUGAAGGACACGAACAUCAGAUCAAACAAGCAUUGGUGUGAUCAUUCAUGAAGAUUGUACCAAAAGAUAAGAUGUUAACAACGGGUGAAUACCUGAAACUAGGAUUGAUCCAGCGGCGUGAUUCCUUAUUGAUUCAGGUCUUGGUUUGCGAGUAAACCUCAAGUACACUGAUCCAAGAUCCACUGGUGACCAUUAGGACCUCCAUGUGAUUUGUCAAUGGCGUUGAGCACAUCAUUUGAAGACAAAGUAGAAGCAGAAGCAUAGGAAUCAUCAGUAGCAAGAGUAUCUUUAACAAGCUCUGUAAUACGUGACAAAACUGUCUCAGCAGCAACUUUCCUUAGACCAUCUGCAACAGAGGUCCAAGAGGAGUCCAUAGCCCAAAUCCUUAGGAUUUUUGAAAUAUAAUAUUAAUAUUUGGGCCAAGAUUAUCACGGAUCAGUCCGUAAAUAAGGUGUAGAAGGAUCGAGUCCUUAGUACACGUGUCGCGUAACUAAUCAGUCUCUCCUCUCUUCUCUCUCUCACCAAACUCCGCCGUAGAAGAAGAAGCCAUGGGAGAUAAGCUCUUUCUCUCUUUCCCUCCAUCACCGUAAAUUGAUUCCUCUUUGAUUUUUCCUUGAGUAGUUUCUUCUUCCCCUGACCGUUGAUUUGAACUUGUUCGGUCGGGCUUUUGAAUUUUUACAGCUUUUGAUUGGAGGAGAGAUGGAGAUGAAUUCAAACAAACCGCCGUUGUUUCUCCCCAAACGCUCUCAAUCCGUCAACAGCCGCCAUCCCUCGCCUUACCCGGCCACCGAAAUGUCCGCGGCCACGAAGAUGCUCAUCACCUCCACCAGGAGCCUCUCGGUUUCCUUCCAAGGCGAAGCCUUUUCCCUUCCCAGCAGCAAAAAGAAGGAAGCCGCCGCCGCUCCUCCCGUUAUCUUCAGUGGCGGUUUGUCAAUGCGAGGACUGAGUAUACUUUAAUGGUGCAAAGAUUGAAUGAUGAGAAAAACCUGUGAAAUGCAUGGCUAUCAAUCUCAGAACUGCGCCACAGCGUUACCUUAAAGCGAAUCAAGUUACUUUUGCAAAGGCAGAAACUGAAACUGGCCAAACGAGGUCGCUAACGAUUCCACCGAUGAUCGUGCAGUCAUUUUGCUAGUCUCAUCUACUUGGUUUUGGUUUCUGUUCAAGAGAGCUGGUUACAAUCUCUUGUCUUUAGUCUCCAGUGUUCUGCUUCGUCUUGUCGCCAUCCUCUUCUUAUGGGCCAAGUCUGCUUCACUACUCAACCGGUGACAUCUCUCUGCUCUUUCUACAUUUUAUUACCAAAAGAUGAAACUUUUAGGCUUGGAUUUUGUUGGUAUUAGAGAUUUUCCAUCAGCUUCUUGUUUGGUUGAUUUAUACUAUGUUAUAAAUUUCAUGGUAUUCAGUUUCCAGUUUCAUAGAGUUCAUUGUUGUUAUGUUCAGCACACUUUGUGCUACGUGUUGUAUUGUGUUAAUUGUUUCAGGAUUCUGUUUCAAUAGCAGAGAAUUGUUGGGUUU